rnacentral:rRNA from 1 species
GUCUACAGCCAUGCCACCCUGAACGUGCCCAAUCUCAUCUGAUCUCGGAAGCUAAGCAGGGUCGGGCCUGGUUAGUACUUGAAUGGGGGACCACCUAGGAAGACCAGGUGCUGUAGGCC